AGGACAUGCCAUAAGAUGAGCAUGACGAGAGACAGAUUCUGACCGACUCAGAGGCGGGCAAGUACUCGCUCCAGUUCACGUCUGCCGCUAGACAAAUGUCACCGAGCAGCGACUGAAUUUGUGGUCAAAAGUUUGCAUUUUCGGAAGGAUGGGCAGGAC